rnacentral:rRNA from 1 species
UACGGAGGGUGCAAGCGUUGUUCGGAAUUACUGGGCGUAAAGCGCGUGUAGGCGGUUGGGCAAGUCAGAUGUGAAAGCCUUCUGCUUAACAGAAGAAGUGCAUUUGAAACUACCCGGCUAGAGUACGAGAGAGGAGAGUGGAAUUCCCGGUGUAGAGGUGAAAUUCGUAGAUAUCGGGAGGAACACCAGUGGCGAAGGCGGCUCUCUGGCUCGAUACUGACGCUGAGACGCGAAAGCGUGGGGAGCAAACAGG